AAAAGUAAUGAUAUAUAAAAUGGGGGAACUAAUCACUAGAGGCGCCUUUUGGUGGAAUAGCCUGAAGAGUUGAAAGAACUCCAGGGUUAAACGUGCUCGUUUGAGAGAAAUCCUAGGAUGGGUUACCUCCUGGGAAGUUCUCUAUUCUACCUAUGGAACAAAACCGUGAGACUUAUGGUCAAAGCGAACAAUUUCUCUAGUGGUUGGAGCCUGACCGUUACAGGAUUUGAAGGAGAUUUUGGAGAUUAUAUGGGUUUGUUGCCAAUGCAUUUGCAUAUGCAGUAAAAAAUUGAAUUUGGAUAAAAAAAAAUCUCCAUUUAUAUGUCAUUGGGUAUACAUCUUCUAUUGACACUAGCUUAAGGAUCACACAUAAAAUUUUGCUUAAGGUAAAAUGUCCAUUAUAAUCCUUUAAUUUUAAAUUUACAUAUACUCACAUCUUGAAAAAUUUAUAAUUAAAUAAGAUUUUUUAUAAGUGCAAAAUUAAUUACUAGACUUUUAUAUUCUAAUUUUGAUUAAAUAUGUGCAAAAAAAAUAACAUUGUUAUUUAAUAAUAUUUAAAAAUUAAUUUUAUUAAAUAAAAUAUUAUUUCAAGAUUUAAAAACUAAAAAAAUUAAAAAUUCCUAAUUAUUUACCAAAAACUUCACCAUCCCUUUACAACAUUUGUAGUUGCUUCCCUCGAGUCUUUCCGCGCUUGUGUAGUUUCUCCUCUCAGAGCUUCCCCAUCUCGCCAUUUUCCAGAUUGUACAAAAUAUAAGAUCAAUAUUACAAAUUAAAUAUAUUAUAUUAUUAAUUUAAUCAUUUAUCAGUUGACAAUAAGUUAUUAAAAAUAUUAAAUAAAAAUACCAAAAGUCAAUAAGUAAGCCUCGGGCGUAAUGCGAGCCGUAAAAUUUUGAAAUGGAACUUGCUUCUGCAAAUAACAAAACAUUUUAUUAAUAUUAUAUUUCUGCCCACCAAACUUUACUUUCUCUCUCAUCAAACCUUUCUUUAUUUGAUUUUUGCUUUUAUAUUUCUUAUAAUUUCAUCCUAAAUGCACAUCAUCAAAAUUAAAAUUACUAUAUAUAAUCAAAAUUCGAACUCAAUAUCCCACGUUUCUUAAAGAUGAUUUUUAUAUUAUUAAAU
rnacentral:misc_RNA from 1 species